GGGCAAGUCCUGUACAACCAGCUCCCACUUACUCCCCCAGGUCCGGAAGGAAGCAAGGGUACGUGGUUGAGCGGUGUGAUAUAGGUCGCUUGCCCCUC
rnacentral:SRP_RNA from 1 species